CUGCCAUGAACUGCGGGCCUGCCAUGCCACUCUGCCUUGGAGCCAACUGAAUAUGGACUAAAACCUCCAAAAAACUGUAAGAAAUAAACUUUUCUUUUCCCAACUUUGGUCAUCAGAUAUUUUGUCUCAGCAAUGAGCAAAAAGUAACUAAGACAGGGCCCAAUCCAUUAAUAGGACAUAGAAGUGCUACUAAUAUUAUAGCUUCUUUUAAGGAAAACAAUGCUGAAUUUUCUUUAUUUUUUAUUUUAUUUUGUCUUUUUCCUUUUUAUCAGUACCGGCUAUCAAACUCACAACUGCCUGUUUGCAAGGCAGGCGCUCAUGCCGCUGAGCUAAAUCCCCAGCCCUGAAUUUCCUUUAUUUUGAAGCUUAGGCAAGAGGAUAUCAGUUUGGGGUCUUGAAGAGCUGAUUGAGUCUACACCCAAGCUCUCUCCUUGUCAGGCCACCUCAGACCUGCUCUGUGUCCCUUGCACCAGGCACCACACAGCUCGGACAGACCUGAGCUCAGAACCCAGGACCUGGUUCUGAGGAUCCAUCCAUGGUGGGAGACAGAGCAGAGCCCCCUCCCCCAGCUCAGGCUGCCCCUGAGCUCACCCGCUGUCCCUGCCCUAGAGGCUCUCUGUGGACCCUGCUGCAGCUGCCCCUCUGUAAGCAGGAGAAUGACCAUGACAGAUUGACCUGGACACCAGCUGUAAGAGAGCGAGGACAGGGUUCGACCUCCCCCUGAACCUUCUGGGAUGCAGCCCUGGGCCCUGUACUUCAAGUCCCUCCUUCUCUGGCUGCUGCCCUGGCCAGGCAGAGGGCAGUUCCAAGUGAAAACACCAAAGUCAUCGGUCAUUGUCCAGUUGGGGAAAGCAGCUGUGCUUCCCUGUCACCUCAGCCCAUCUACAGAUGCUCAGAACAUGGAGAUCAGGUGGUACCGGGACGACCAAUCAGUACUGCUUCACGAGUACAGGAAUUCUCAGGACCACAUGGAUCAGCAGAGUCUUGAGUACCAAGGGAGGACAGAGCUCCUGAGGGAAAACAUCAACCAAGGCCAGGUGGCCCUGAGGAUCCAUCCCAUCCUUGCUAGAGAUGAAGGACAGUACAGCUGUGUCUUUGUAAGUUCCACACAAGUUGGCCAAGCACAGUUUGAGCUGCUUGUUGCAGCCUCAGGUGCACCUCCUCAUAUCCACAUUCAGCCUGCAGACACUGAGGGCAUCACGCUGACCUGCUCAUCCUCAGGGUGGUACCCAGACCCUGAGCUCCAGUGGAGGGACCCACAGGGACAGCCUUUGUCACCUGACUCUGAGACUAGGUCUGAACAAGAAGAUGGCCUGAUCUAUGUGGAAAGCUCAGUCACAAUGACAAGCAGCUCAAGAGCACCUUUGUGCUGUUGGAUUGGGAACCCUGUGCUCAGGGAGGAGAAGGAGGAGCGUCUCUCAGUGGCAGAGGCCUUGUUCCCCCGGGUCAGCAACAAGAGAGUGGAGUGGACUGUGAUGCUGGUGCUCCCAGUUUUGACAAUCAUAAUCGCUGCUGUUAUCCUCCUGAGAUCUAGAAGAUGCCGAGAAGGAGUAAAUCUUUUCGGAAGGCAUGGUCAGAAGGAAGCUAAACGAUUUGCAGUAGCACCAGGAUGGGAACAAAACCCAAGCCCCAGAGGAUUCCAGAAUGGAACUCAGCACCUGACUGGCAUAACUCAGCAAAGGCCGGGAUAACUUCCUUGGGGAAUAUUCUUUGCCUGCCCCCCCCCCUUUUUUUUAAGGGAGACUCACUAAAGAACCUGAAGAUGUAAUUGUGGAUGAAGACACUGCUCACCCUCAGCUCACCCUGUCAGAGUGUGAGAAGCAUGUGGAAUAUUUGUGAAGAGUGUGAGCUGUUCCUAAAUUCUCUGGAAGAUUUACUUCUCAGCGAGCUGUGCUGGCUUCUUUAGUGGUCAGCAUUACUGGGAGGUGUACGUAAGAGAGAGUUCAUUUUGGACAAUAGGCCUGUGCUUGAUUUCCUUCAACAGGAAAUUGCAUUUUGAAGACAUUCGUCCUGAGAAUGGCUUUUUGGAACAAUACCAGAUAUGAUACUAAGUAUUUAGCAUUUUCUUUACCGCAUUACAAUUUCAGUGUAAUAGCUUCUCCAUUGACAAUGGGAUUUUUUUUUUCAAUAUGAGCAAGGAUUGAUUUCUUUGAAUAUUGAGAAGAAAUUUGGCAUACUCCAUACUAUCACAGGCAACUUCUCUCAAACACUGAGGCCAUAUUUUUUAAUUCAACCUUUAAGAAAAAUUCCUGUUCUUACCAUCCUCCCAGUGACCUCAGAAUCUGACCUCCCUAUUGCACACCCAGAGAGCCUUGCACAAGACUAGUCCCAGUAGACCAGGUGAGCACACAGUGUCCCAGCCAAUAUAAUACUAGGCAGGGCUAGGUGUCUCUGCCAUCAAAGACCCAGGCUGCUUCCCAGCCCUGUGGAAAAUUAUGUAAAACCCUUGUGAUUUGGCCAUUUCCAGUGCUCACUAUGCAGCCCAGCUUCCCUUUAAUACACUUCCCUUUGUUUCCAUAGUCUUUGAGAAGUGCAACUUCUUCCUAUACUUCCUGAUUUGAGCGUGAGAUUCUGAAAAGUGUUGACUGCUUCCCAUGGUAGACCACAGCCACGCAUUUCUCACCGUGCUUUAGAACAGAGUCACAGUGUUUUUCUAUUUCACCUGUGACCUUGGCCUCCCACCUGAUAACGUCAGGUGCUGCUCAUUUGCGUGACCUCCUCUGUGCUAAAAUCAGUGCACUGAGAUCCCUACCUUGUGGGACAGCAACAAACAGUGAAAUUCCAUCUUAUCAACAAGGCUACUUCCAAAGACAUUUACAUAUGAAAAAUAGCAUUGGCAGUCCAGUAGCCCUUUUCAAAUUUCUUAUCCUGUUUAAAUUUUAAAAUAGUUAAUUGACAAAUGACAUUUUUGUAAUAUAUAAACGAUGAUUUGAUGAUGGGAAUUUCUGAGUUCGAGGGUGUCCUCUCUCCUCUGAAGUGAAAGUCUACAUAAAUUGGGAAACCCAGAUAGAAUCUACACCAGUGCUAUUAUGCAUCAAUCAUAUAAAACAAUGGAAGUAUACCUGCCACACAUGUUCCAGCCUGGGGAAAUUACAGAAAAAUCUCAGGAAGGAAAGAGGAAACUGUGUUCUCACACACUGGUGUGGGAAUGACAAACACCAUGAAAAUACUACUGGAAGAUCCUCAUGAAAAUACAGUCAUCCUAUGACCCCAUGUCCACCUCUGGUUUUGUGCUGUAAAGAAAUUUAACAUGAUAGAGAAGCUCGCACACCAACUUCUUUUUUAUUUUGUAAGCCUAGAAAAACUCAACUCUCAUUAAAUGAUUUUUUGAAGCUUUAGAACGUUUAUAUAGUUGAAUAUAAUUUAAAAGUAAAACAAAACAUUGGUAUUGCAGUCAAUAAUGUAAUUAUCACAGCUAUGCUGGGAAAAUAUACUGAAUGGCAAAGACUUCUUCCUGUUUGCUUCCACGUGUCGAGUUCUUGAACAGACAUAAUUACUCUGCAUUUUCAAAACAAUAUACAAUAUUAUUUGUUUUGGGGGUGAAUUGAUUAACUGAAAGAAAUCUGAGGAGAUUUCCAAGAGGAGUGGUAGAAGUGUCUGUUUGUUCACAGUGAAAGAAAUUUUGGAUGUGUGCCUGGGUCACAGCUUAUCUGACUGUAAAAUUAAGACUGAUGACAUCAUGCAUCUUCCCUGAGGAACCUUAACUUCUGUCAUUCAUAUACUGAUGUUGCCAUGUACAGACACCUUCAUGGAGCAAGGGCUGUGACUAAUGUAAUACAGUAGGAAGUGCAUCAAGGUCACAUCCUACAGAUCACAUUGUACAAGGGAGAUGAAUCCUUGGUGAUUUGCAUCACUCCUUCCAUGGGAAGCCAGUGGAAAGGACGCACAUGCUGUCCUGUGGGAAGUGACAUUGACAAGGUCUAAUUCUGUGUGCUCCCUGACAUGAAUUCCUUACUGUGACAUGGAUUGUGCAGCUCUGACAAAGCUGAGAGAACCAGAUUGCAACUUCCGCACUAGCCCCAAAUGGCUGAACCACAUUCCAGAAAUUACAUACUAAUGGGUACCAUUUCUGUUUUGAGCAUCAAAGAUGGGAUUAUUUCUUACAUGUCCUGAAUCACACACUGAACAAUAGCUGUGUAUUUUAUGAUAAAAAGAAUUGUAGAUCUAGUGGAAUAACUCACAAGUAAGGGUAUUUAUCUAGCUCAUAUCCCUGCAUCUCUGAGUCUAAUCCCCAGAUUCAAAGCAAAACAAGGCUCCAUUUAGUAAGUUUGCUCUUUGCAGAACUGAUCACAGCUAUUGAAAUUAUUAUUGUGAAUUUCAAGGUUAAAAAUGAUAGUCACAGUUGUUGAAGUUUGUUAUAAUAUGAAAUAGGGGAUAAAAUUCGUUCUUAUUGUUUGGAAUUAAAUUAAAAACACUAAUUGGAGUCAGAGAGAAGAUGGUGGAUAGAUAACAACAGGCUACAGAGGCUCCCUGAGAUAGUCAACUUAGAAUUCAACAUAAUACAGCAUGGGGAGUCCCAAACAGAGGGAGAUGAAUCCUCUUGUCCCAAGAAGAAACUAAGGUGAGAAGAAGCAAUCAAACAUACAGUCCUGGUGCUACUACUGGAACAGCUAAAGGCUCAGUGCUCUCACUGCAGCACCCGAACUCACCCAGUGGUGACUUACUGAGUCAUCCAAGUUACUGCUGCUUCCAACCACUGGAAACACAGUUACACUGGGGUGGGGGGUCAGCAGAGAGCUGCCAAACAGAGAACUGAGCUGAGCUGAGCUGGCAGGGAGCCUGCAUCAACCUGCAGUGAGUGCCAGGAAUGGAACCAUUCCACAGAAAAAGGGGCUCCAACAGAUGACAUUCUACGACCAGGAAGACUGGUGUGAACAAGGAGCUGCAGUGACUUCUGUCAGCUGCUCCUUUCUCAAGCAGGAUUGGUGGGGAGUGCUUAACUUGGGUCAUGUCCUGGACUGAGACCCAAUAAGCUAGUCCAAACCAGUUCCCUAUGCCUGCUGGCCCAUCCUAAUGCAGUGAAACCCUCAGCAGAUUGACUGAGCUGGAUGGAGGAGGGCCCAGCAUAGGCUUCCCCAGUCUGCACCUCUGUAGUACACUGAAGUGGAUGGGAGCACCAAUUUAGUGCACUUCAGACAAACUGUAACCAACAAAGAAAGAAACUGGGGCCUCCUAUAUACACCUGUAUGGAAGGAACAAAAAAAUAUGAGAAGAGGAAGCAACAAGAAAGGAACCCUAGUCUUCAACCCUGAGAACAUUGAUCUAGGAAAGGUAAAUGCAAAGGAGAUUGAGGACAGCAAACAUUCAAUAUCAGAUAUGGCACCAGUGGACAUAAAGUGGUAUCUUUGGGACCUCGCAGACAAAUUCAAAAAUGAAGUAUUUAACCAAGUAAAGCAAGAUAUGAAUAGAAUAAUUAAAGAAAUGCUAAGCACCUCUCAAAAAAACAGAUGGAAGAACACAAAAAAGAACUAUUGAUGAAGAAAAUAAAGAACACAUAAAAUACAUGAAGGAGGUUCAAAAAGAUUAUCAGGAAAUUAAAAACUCCAUUGAAAGCUGGCAAAGCUGCUUGAAAGAAAAUAAGGGUAGAUUAUCCAAACUGGAGGACAGGUUUGCAAUUUGGGAUCAUGAAAGGAAAAAUUUCUUUAAAAAAAAAUUUGUCUUUUUCAUUUUUAUUGGUACAAGGGAUUGAACUCAUGACCACACACUUGCAAGGCAAGUGCUUAUGCCACUAAACAAAAUCUCCAGCCCCAGGAAAAAUUCCUUAAAGAUAAGAAGGAAACAAGCAGUAAGAGUAAAAGGCUAGAAGAUGACAAGAGGAUCUAUAACUUAAGAAUAAAGAAUGUGAACAAAGAAGCAGGGAUAAAAACAAAGGAACUACAAAGGCUAUUCACAGAAAUAGGUAAGGAAAACUUCCCAAGCAUAGGAAAAGGAAAUGAUAUUCAGAUGUAUGAGGUAUACAGAAAUCCAGCCACCUAUAACCAAAAUAGAACAUAUAAUCAAGAUCUCAGAAAUCUAAUAUAGGAACAGAAUAUUAAAAGCUGUCAGAGACAAGAAAUAUAUUACUUACAAGGGAAAGCCCCUUAGAAUUAUGGCUUACUUCUUGACACAAACCAUCAAAUCGAGAAGAGCAUGGAGCAAAGUAUUCCAAGCCCUGAAAGAAAAUAACCUCCAUCCCAGAUUGAUGUACCCUGCAAAAUUGUCCCUAGAAAUUAAUGGAAAAACAAGAUGCUUUGAAGAUAGAGAGGAACUGGAGGAAUUCACAACCUCCAAUCCAACUCUACAGAGAAUACUACAGAACAUUCUAAAGAGAGAGAAAAACACUAGGAUUUCACGAACAGUAGCAGAGAGGCCCCAAUGAAUGUAGUAAAAAGUGAAAUGAAGAAGCCAAAUAGACAACUAAUGACGGAAAAAGAGCAUAACAGAAAUGAGGCAGAGAAAUUGGAUAUAAUUUCUAUUAUAAAUGGUCUAGAUACACUAAAUUAAGGAAAAAAAGUAAGAGUCUCAGGCGGAGUGGAUCAAGAUGGAGGGCCUACCGAGUUGCUAUUUAUAGGAAAUAUAAUUAAUCUGAAGAAGGGUAUUUGGACCAAAAUCAAAUAUGAGAAAACAGAACUCUAUGUGAUAGGGAACCAGAGAGUAAUAGGGGCAAUUGGACCAGUAUUUAUGUGUAGUUUUCUGUGUAUAUAGGAAUGUGUUUUGUUCUGGCCUGCUUUGUUCUUUUCUCCCUGUAAUAUAAAAAGGAUAGAAAUACAUGUUAUGACUCUUGCUUGCAUAAAACCUAUAUAAACAGUUGAUAAGAACGGACCUUAUGACACAUGAUGAAAUGAACAAAUAUUUUGAAGGGAAAAAAGGCACUACAGUACCCAAUGCUGAUUCUAGAGUGUCAUUAUGUGAAAUCCAGAAAUACUACUAAUCUUUGUUCAGAGUGAUUUUAGCCUGCUUUGGUUUGUUUAAUCUCAACAUAAAUGAAGAUAUGGAUAAAUGUGUGUAUGUUAAGUGUAUAAGAUUGAUAGUCAUACUACUAAGUUUUUAUUAGAUAGUUGAACAGAACGAUUUGCAGUCUCCCUGUUUGAAUUUCCAUUUAUAUGUUCCACUUUUGUAUCUUGAACAAUCAUUCAUCAACUAGUCAUUUAUUAGUUUAUUUUUUCUUUGAAAAUAUGUACUAUUUCUACAUGUUUUCUGUUUUGUCUUUCUUUAAAUAAAAUUUUAAAAAGAGGAAACACUAGUUGACUGAGCUAUAAUAUAGUAAUUGUAGACAUUCUAUGUAUUUAUUUGCACUACACAUAGCAUAAAAGCAAUCAUGAAUAUAAAAGUGUGGGUGAAAAACGCCAAAUUGCACCGGAGAUAACGAAAAGCAUCCCACUGUUUUUAUUGACAAUCACAGUGCACCAUGCAGUCUUCACAAGAGACCUUGAGAAUAGCUAGGGUGACAAGCAAGUGCUGAGUCUCCUUGAUGUCACAGGCUGGGAGUAAAUGGCUUAAACUUUGUGAGGCAGGGAAUUUAGACACCAAACCACUCAGGUUGGAGCAGCCGUCUGCAAGUAGAAUAUGUGACCAUGACACCUGAGCCCCUGGUUGGAUCAAAUUCUGCAACAUAGCGAUCCUAGGGCCUCAGAGAACACAGAACAUGUUCAGAACUAGCUAAGACUACAAAUCAGUGCCUGUGUUUCAUAACUGAUGCUAGACAUCUCUCUUCUCGAGUCCCAGUAAGUAUUACGCUGUACAUCUAGAUGUCUCUUUAGAGCAUCAGGUACUUACAGGUGGUGCUUUGGGAUAGUGACUGGAUUUCAGAGGUUCAUACCUGACUUAAUGUCAGGGCCUGGUCAAAGAGGUGAAUUACUAUUGGCAUGGCCUGCGGGUUUGUCGCGUGCCCAGCACCUCCAUUCUGUUUGCUUCCCUUUUGUAAUGGAAUGGGCACUUGUGCUCCAUCAUUCCCUUCUGUCAAGUUGUGCCCUGGAGAUGUUCAAAGCCUGAAACUCCAACCAAUUGUGAGCAAAAUAAAAUUCUCCUUCUUAAUUUUCCAA